rnacentral:rRNA from 1 species
UUUAUUAUAUUCUUCUUGCAUUUUUAAAAUUCUUCGAUCAUCGAAGUUAAGCAAUGUCGGGCCCGGUCAGUACUUGGGAGGGUGACCACCUGGGAACACCGGGUGCUGUAGGCU